rnacentral:rRNA from 1 species
GGGUUUGAUCAUAGCUCAGAUUGAACGCUGGCGGGAUGCUUUACACAUGCAGUCAGACGGCGGCACGGACUUCGGUCUGGUGGUGGCGAACGGGUGAGUAAUGUAUCCGGAACGUGCCUAGUAGCGGGGGGAUAACUGCGCGAAAGCGUAGCUAUUACCACCGCCACGCCCACUUCGAGGAAAGCGGGGGACCUUCGGGCCUCGCACUAUUAGAGCGGCCGAUAUGGUUAUUUAGUUGGUGGGGUAACGGCUCACCAAGGCGACGAUCGUAGCUGGUUUGAGAAGGACGAUGCUUCCACUGGGACUGAGACGGCCCAGACUCCUACGGGAGACAACGGUAGAAUUUUGGACAAUGGAAACCUGAUCCAGCCAUCCCGCGUGUGCGAUGAAGGCCUUCGGGUUGUAAAGCACUUUGGCAGGAAAGAAACGGCACGGGAUAGCUGCGUGCAACUGACAGUACCUGCAGAAUGAAAACGGCCCCAACUGCGUGCCAUAGCCGCGGUAGCGUAGAGUGCAGCGUUAAUCGGAAUUGCUGAGCGUCAAAGCGUGCGCGAGCGGUUCGGAAAAGAAAGAUGUGAAAUCCCAGAGCAACUUUGGAACUGCAUUUUUAGCUUUACGAGCUAGAGUGUGUCAGAGGAGGGCGAUUCCGCGUGUAGCAGUGAAAUGCGUAGAUAUGCGGAGGAACACCGAUGGCGAAGGCAGCCUCCUGGGAUAACACUGACGCUCAUGCACGAAAAGCGUGGGGAGCAAACAGGAUUGAAAUGCUGGUGGUCACGCCUAACUGAUGUUCUUCAGCUGUUGGGGCCUUCGGGCCUUGGUAGCGCAGCUAACGCGUGAAGUUGACCGCCUGGGAGAGUACGGUCGCAAAGAUUAAAACUCAAAGGAAUUGACGGGGAUUUUACAAGCGGUGGAUGAUGUGGAUUAAUUCGAUGCAACGCGAAAAACCUUACCUACCCUUGACAUGUCUGAAUCCCGAAGAGAUUUGGGAGUGCUCGCAAGAGAACUGGAACACAGGUGCUGCGUAGCUGUCGUCAGCUCGUGUCGUGAGAUGUUGGUUCAUCCACGCAACGACGCAACCCUUGUCGUGGAGUUGCUACGAAGGGCACUCUAAUGAGACUGCCGGUGACAAACCGGAGGAAGAGUGGGGAUGAAAAUCAAGUCCUCAUGGCCCUUAUGGGUAGGGCUUCACACGUCAUACAAUGGUCGGGACAAGAGGUCGCCAACCCCGCGAGGGGGAGCCAAUCCCAAGAAACCCGAUCGUAGUCCGGAUCGCAGUCUGCAACUCGACUACGUGAAGUCCGGAGUCAACUGUGUCGCGGAUAGCAUGUCGCGGUGAAUACGUUCCCGGGUCUUGUACACACCGCCCGUCACCAUGGGAGUGGGUUUUACCAGAAAUGAUUAGCCUAACCGUAAGGAGGGCGAUUACCACGGUAAGGAUUCAUGACUGGGGUGAAGUCGUAACAAGGUAA